rnacentral:rRNA from 1 species
CCUACGGGAGGCUGCAGUGGGGAAUAUUGCACAAUGGGGGAAACCCUGAUGCAGCGACGCCGCGUGAGCGAAGAAGUAUCUCGGUAUGUAAAGCUCUAUCAGCAGGGAAGAAAAUGACGGUACCUGACUAAGAAGCCCCGGCUAACUACGUGCCAGCAGCCGCGGUAAUACGUAGGGGGCAAGCGUUAUCCGGAUUUACUGGGUGUAAAGGGGGCGCAGGCGGCGCGGGAAGCCUGAUGUGAAAGCCCGGGGCUCAACCCCGGGACUGCAUUGGAAACUGUCGGGCUGGAGUGUAGGAGGGGCAGGUGGAAGUCCUGGUGUAGCGGUGAAAUGCGUAGAUAUUAGGAGGAACACCAGUGGCGAAGGCGGCUUGCUGGACGACAACUGACGCUGAGGCCCGAAAGCGUGGGGAGCAAACAGGAUUAGAUACCCCAGUAGUC